UUUUGGGGUGAUUUUGGGCACUUUGGGACCCCCGCAGCACGUCCGGAACAGCCGCGGCUCCAACAAGUACGAGGGGUGGCCGCAGGCGCUGGAGCUCGGCGGCUGCGUCCCCCAGCGGCCCCCGGGGUGACCCCAAAAACCGGGGGGACCCCAAAACAUCCCGGGGGGACCCCAAAACAUCCCGGGGGAACCCCAGAACCCGGGGGGACCCCAAAAACAUCCCGGGGGGACCCCAAAACAUCCCGGAGGAACCCCAAAAACAUCCCGGGGGAUCCCAAAAACAUCCCGGGGGAUCCCAAAAACAUCCCGGGGGGACCCCAAAAACAUCCGGGGGGACCCCAGAACCCGGAGGGGGGACUCCAAAACAUCCCGGGAACCCCAAAACAUCCCGGGGGGACCCCAAAAACCGGGGGGACCCCAAAACAUCCCGGGGGACCCUAAAAACAUCCCGGGAACCCCAAAAACAUGCCAGGGGGACCCAAAAACCCGGGGGGGACCCCAAAACAUCCCGGAGGUACCCCAAAACUCACAGAGACCCCAAGGGACCCCAAAACCCCCACAGAGACCCCCUCAAGGACCCCAAAAUCCACAGGGGGCACCCCAAAACUCACGGGGACGCCAAAAUCCCCACAGGGACCCCAAAAUGUCCCAGAACCCCCCAAAGCCGAGGAUUUGGGGUCCCCCGGGGCAGAUUUGGGGUCCCCCCGGUCAGAUUUGGGGUCCCCCCGAAUUUUAGGGUGUCCCGAACCCCCCCCCCCCCCCCGGGCCGGGUUUUGGGGCGCUCGGAGCCGUUUUGGGGGUUCGGGGUGAAAUUUUUGGGGUUUUUUUGGGGGGUCCCAAAUCUCCCCCUCCCCCUCCCCCGGCUCCUUGGGCAGGGGCGGGGCGAAUGCAAAUGAGCGGGCGGGUAAUUAGCAUGAUAAACGAGAGGGGCGGGGUUAUGCUAAUGAAGCGGCUGUUGGAAACGAGGCGGGGCGAAUGCAAAUAAAGGAGCGCGGUCGGCCA
rnacentral:lncRNA from 1 species